GAUGAACGCUGGCGGCGUGCUUAACACAUGCAAGUCGAACGGAAAGGCUCCUGCUUGCAGGGGUACUCGAGUGGCGAACGGGUGAGUAACACGUGGGUGAUCUGCCCUGCACUUCGGGAUAAGCCUGGGAAACUGGGUCUAAUACCGGAUAGGACGAUGGGUUGGAUGCCAUUGUGGAAAGUUUUUCGGUGUGGGAUGAGCUCGCGGCCUAUCAGCUUGUUGGUGGGGUAGUGGCCUACCAAGGCGUCGACGGGUAGCCGGCCUGAGAGGGUGUACGGCCACAUUGGGACUGAGAUACGGCCCAGACUCCUACGGGAGGCAGCAGUGGGGAAUAUUGCACAAUGGGCGCAAGCCUGAUGCAGCGACGCCGCGUGGGGGAUGACGGCCUUCGGGUUGUAAACUCCUUUCGCUAGGGACGAAGCGCAAGUGACGGUACCUGGAGAAGAAGCACCGGCUAACUACGUG
rnacentral:rRNA from 1 species